rnacentral:rRNA from 1 species
AUUGAACGCUGGCGGCAGGCCUAACACAUGCAAGUCGAACGAGUGGCGGACGGGUGAGUAAUGUCUGGGAACCUGCCUGAUGGAGGGGGCUAACUACUGGAAACGGUAGCUAAUACCGCAUACACUCGGAUGUGCCCAGAUGAGAUUAGCUAGUAGGUGGGGUAACGGCUCACCUAGGCGAGUAUCCCUAGCUGGUCUGAGAGGAUGACCAGCCACACUGGAACUGAGACACGGUCCAGACUCCGACGGGAGGCAGCAGUGGGGAAUAUUGCACAAUGGGCGAAAGCCUGAUGCAGCAAGGCCGCGGGUAGGAAGAAGGCCUUCGGGUUGUAAAGUACUUUCGGCGGGGAGGCGUUACCCGCAGAGGAAGCACCGGCUAACUCCGUGCCAGCAGCCGCGGUAAUAC